GGCGAACGCUGGCGGCGUGCUUAACACAUGCAAGUCGAACGGAAAGGCCCUGCUUUUGUGGGGUGCUCGAGUGGCGAACGGGUGAGUAACACGUGAGUAACCUGCCCUUGACUUUGGGAUAACUUCAGGAAACUGGGGCUAAUACCGGAUAGGAGCUCCUGCUGCGUGGUGGGGGUUGGAAAGUUUCGGCGGUUGGGGAUGGACUCGCGGCUCAUCAGCUUGUUGGUGGGGUAGUGGCUUACCAAGGCUUUGACGGGUAGCCGGCCUGAGAGGGUGACCGGCCACAUUGGGACUGAGAUACGGCCCAGACUCCUACGGGAGGCAGCAGUGGGGAAUAUUGCACAAUGGGCGGAAGCCUGAUGCAGCAACGCCGCGUGCGGGAUGACGGCCUUCGGGUUGUAAACCGCUUUCGCCUGUGACGAAGCGUGAGUGACGGUAAUGGGUAAAGAAGCACCGGCUAACUACGUG
rnacentral:rRNA from 1 species